rnacentral:rRNA from 1 species
UACGAAGGGGACUAGCGUUGUUCGGAUAUACUGGGCGUAAAGCGCACGUAGGCGGCGCCGUACGUCAGGGGUGAAAUCCCGGAGCUCAACUCCGGAACUGCCCUUGAAACUGCAGUGCUAGAAUCUUGGAGAGGCGAGUGGAAUUCCGAGUGUAGAGGUGAAAUUCGUAGAUAUUCGGAAGAACACCAGUGGCGAAGGCGACUCGCUGGACAAGUAUUGACGCUGAGGUGCGAAAGCGUGGGGAGCAAACAGG